AAAAGGUUGCCACUCAAACAGAAGAAUGAGAUUCCCUGACUUUUCCAGGUGUGUUUCAAGAAAUUUCCAGGCUAUUUGCGUAGUGCGCUUUGGUUGUGCUCAGGGUUUCACCAUUGGACAAGAAGACCAGUAGCUCCGCCCUCCUGCACCCAAGUACCUCCACAGACAAUGCCUUUCAACUCAGAUGAGCUCUCGUCAUUCUGACGCUAGCACAUAAUAACAGCUAUGCUGUAUUGCAUGUUUAGGAUAACGGUAGCAUUUACAUUUACACCACCGGACAUCAUUAGGAGAACUUUUUCAACACUUGCUGUAUCCAAAGACUCUAAUAUCGCACUUUCACGAGAUUUUUAUCUCAAUUACAAACUUUGUCACAUUAGGGUAGAAAAGAUGUGCCAUUUUCGCACGAGUUCAACACAGGAUGUGGUUUGUGGUUUGAUAACCCGGGUACCUGCUGACAAGUGUUUCUAACACCUGAGUCUUCAGACGAUUUUACAUGAUACUGGUGAUGUAAAUAAAACUUACACUUAUCCAACGAUAAUUUUAAAGCAUUAUUAAUUAUCCAAUCCAAUGCAUUGAAACUGAACACAAGGCACUUUGCUUCUGCUCGUCAGACAAAGCAGACUGUUGGCUGUUUCUCUUCUUAGCACAAAGAAAUAAAAAUAUGUAAAUGUUUUCAAAUAAGCAUUAUUGGAGUGCCAAAUUAUUUGUAUCUGCAAAUGUCAAUUGAAAUAAAAAUGAAUAUUUAACCUGCU